UACGUAGGGUGCGAGCGUUAAUCGGAAUUACUGGGCGUAAAGCGUGCGCAGGCGGUCUGUUAAGACCGAUGUGAAAUCCCCGGGCUUAACCUGGGAACUGCAUUUGUGACUGCAUAGCUAGAGUACGGUAGAGGGGGGAUGGAAUUCCGCGUGUAGCAGUGAAAUGCGUAGAUAUGCGGAGGAACACCGAUGGCGAAGGCAAUCCCCCUGGACCUGUACUGACGCUCAUGCACGAAAGCGUGGGGGAGCAAACA
rnacentral:rRNA from 1 species